rnacentral:pre_miRNA from 1 species
UCGGAGUGCGUGUCUUCAAUUCCGUAGUGCAUUGCAGUGUUUGUAGCAGCAGUCUGCAAGCAGUGCGGAAGUGAGGAUUCGUCUCUGCUAUCCUUC